rnacentral:lncRNA from 1 species
GCGCUUCCGUGCAGUCCCCUCCACAUCAACACUGCUUUUCCUCUUCCGUCCGGACACCCUGGGCUCUGACUGAGCACAUUACUACUGUAUUCUGUCGCGCUUUACAGUAAGCACACAGCACAACCGUGAGAACUACGCCAGACAGCACCUAGCCAGACCUUCUCCUAUCGUGAACAAACUGUAUACUCCACGGUAAGGGCUGGUGUGAUGAUCUCUCUUCAGACUUUCAGUUCCUGCCAGAGGUGUAGGCAUGGCUCUAACG